AUGGCCAUGGCCACCAAGCUCCAAUGGUGGCCACGGCUCCUCCUGCUCACCCACUCUGCCUUCUUCCUGCUCAGCCACGCGGCCUCCUUGCCAUGGACACUCGACAACGUCUCCGGCCUCCACCCUGUGGUGCUGCUGCCCGGCAGCACGUGCAGCCAGAUCGAGGCCCGCCUCACGGACGCCUACGAGCCGCCGUCGCCGCUCUGCGCCGCGCAUAAGGGCGACGGCCAGUGGCACCGGCUAUGGAAGACGGCGGCUGCUCCUGACGCCGACGCCCCGUGCUUCGCCGAUCAGUUUAGAUUGGUCUACGACGAUGCCGCCGGCGAUUACCGCAACGCGCCCGGCGUCGAGACCCGCGCCGUCUCCUUCGGCUCCACCCGCGGCUUCCUCGCCGACGACCCUGCCGACAAGGAGCUCUGCAUGGGGAAGCUGGUGGAGGCGUUGGAGCGAGCGGGGUACCGCGACGGCGAGACCCUCUUCGGCGCGCCCUACGACUUCCGGCACGCGCCCGCCCCGCCGGGGACGGCCAACAGGGAGGUGUCCCGGUUCCGGCGGCGGCUCCGGGAGCUGGUGGAGCGCGCGAGCAGGACGAACGGUGACAAGCCGGUCAUCCUCGUCUCGCACAGCCAGGGCGGCUACUUCGCACUCGACUUCCUCAACCGGAGCCCGCUGCCGUGGCGCAGGAGGUUCGUGAAGCACUUCGUCAUGGCCUCCACGGGCGCCGGCGGGUUCGUGCUGCUAAUGCAGACCCUCCUUCCCUCGCUGCAAGUGAGGAUGAUCUUCCCCGGCACUCUCUCGGCACUGCCGUCCCCCGUCGCUUUCGGCGACGACACGCCGCUAGUGGUCACUACGAACCGGAGCUACGCCGCGCGUGACAUGCCGGCGUUCCUCGCGGCGGCGGGGCUGCCGCCACAGGCGGUAUGGCUCUACGAGACGCGUGCGCUUCCCGUGGCGCUGAGCCUCGGGCCACCGCUAGUGCCCAUGACGUGCGUCAACGGCGGCGGCGUGCCGACCGUGGAGAAGCUCGUCUACCCGUGCCCUGGCGGCCUCGGCGCGGCCCCGGAGGUGGUGUACGGAGACGGCGACGGCGUCGUGAACUUGGCGAGCAUACUUGCGCUGGACACGGUGAUGGGUGGAGACCCGAGGCAGGAGCACUACAGGUCCAUGAGGAUCGCCAAUAUGUCUCACCUUGGUGUUGUCUCGGACGCUCUCGCCCUCGAGCGUUUGCUUGGUGAGAUCCUUUACGCAGCUACACCCGCCGUAGAUGCGCGUGCGAUGUAG
rnacentral:rRNA from 1 species